rnacentral:rRNA from 1 species
GAUCUUUAUUUUUAUUUUUUAUAAAUUAAAUAAAUUUGAAAUUUUUAUAAUAAAAUUAAAAAUUUUGUUGGGGUGAUAUAAAAAUUUAAUUAACUUUUUAAUUUUUAUUACAUAAAUAUAUGAAUAAUUGAUCCAAUUUUAUUGAUUAAAAAUUUAAGUUACCUUAGGGAUAACAGCGUAAUUUUUUUUUAGAGUUCAUAUCGACAAAAAAGAUUGC